rnacentral:rRNA from 1 species
UUUGGCCUAAUAUUAUACCAUCGCAUCGGAUCUCAUCAGAACUCCGCACUUAAGUGAGUUUAGGCUAGAGUAGUAUUGGGGAAGUUCUAUGUUGCACCCUCUGAAAUACAACUUGAGUGGGCCUAAU